ACGAACGCUGGCGGCGUGCCUAAUACAUGCAAGUAGAACGCUGAGGGAGGAGCUUGCUUCUCCGGAUGAGUUGCGAACGGGUGAGUAACGCGUAGGUAACCUGCCUGGUAGCGGGGGAUAACUAUUGGAAACGAUAGCUAAUACCGCAUAACAGUAGAUGUUGCAUGACAUUUGCUUAAAAGGUGCAAUUGCAUCACUACCAGAUGGACCUGCGUUGUAUUAGCUAGUUGGUGAGGUAACGGCUCACCAAGGCGACGAUACAUAGCCGACCUGAGAGGGUGAUCGGCCACACUGGGACUGAGACACGGCCCAGACUCCUACGGGAGGCAGCAGUAGGGAAUCUUCGGCAAUGGACGGAAGUCUGACCGAGCAACGCCGCGUGAGUGAAGAAGGUUUUCGGAUCGUAAAGCUCUGUUGUAAGAGAAGAACGAGUGUGAGAGUGGAAAGUUCACACUGUGACGGUAUCUUACCAGAAAGGGACGGCUAACUACGUG
rnacentral:rRNA from 1 species